GAUGAACGCCGGCGGUGUGCCUAAUACAUACAAGUCGAACGCGUUGGCCCAAUUGAUUGACGGUGCUUGCACCUGAUUGAUUUUGGUCGUCAACGAGUGGCGGACGGGUGAGUAACACGUAGGUAACCUGCCCAGAAGCGGGGGACAACAUUUGGAAACAGAUGCUAAUACCGCAUAACAACGUUGUUCGCAUGAACAACGCUUAAAAGAUGGCUUCUCGCUAUCACUUCUGGAUGGACCUGCGGUGCAUUAGCUUGUUGGUGGGGUAAUGGCCUACCAAGGCGAUGAUGCAUAGCCGAGUUGAGAGACUGAUCGGCCACAAUGGGACUGAGACACGGCCCAUACUCCUACGGGAGGCAGCAGUAGGGAAUCUUCCACAAUGGGCGCAAGCCUGAUGGAGCAACACCGCGUGAGUGAAGAAGGGUUUCGGCUCGUAAAGCUCUGUUGUUAAAGAAGAACACGUACGAGAUUAACUGUUCAUACGUUGACGGUAUUUAACCAGAAAGUCACGGCUAACUACGUGCCAGCAGCCGCGGUAAUACGUAGGUGGCAAGCGUUAUCCGGAUUUAUUGGGCGUAAAGAGAGUGCAGGCGGUUUUCUAAGUCUGAUGUGAAAGCCUUCGGCUUAACCGGAGAAGUGCAUCGGAAACUGGAUAACUUGAGUGCAGAAGAGGGUAGUGGAACUCCAUGUGUAGCGGUGGAAUGCGUAGAUAUAUGGAAGAACACCAGUGGCGAGGCGGCUACCUGGUCUGCAACUGACGCUGAGACUCGAAAGCAUGGGUAGCGAACAGG
rnacentral:rRNA from 1 species